UCAGGAGUUAUGGGGUUGGUGUCAGGGGAGGAAAAAUUGAUGUUUAGGGUUGAGCAGGAAUUUCUGCUCUAGGGAGGUCUGGUUAAAACACAAUGUACACCGGAGGGAGGGGAGGUGGGGGGGAAGCAGGCCCAAUAGCAGAGGAAAAGGCUUAUAUUCAAAGUUUCCUUGUUUUGCCCUAAGAUGUGAGUUUUUACUUCAUCCCUGGUCUUUCAAGGUGGGCAGAGCCAGUGCCUUCAUAGCAGGGGACUUAGAGGCGCCGCCUGGGCGGCUGUGGGGCUGGCUCUGCGUGGACUCUGCCUUCCUGCCUGGACUUCCCGAGGGAGGGGCGCCUUCCUUCUCACCCCUCUUUGUUUCUGGGAGGAAAAGGGCAGCCACGGCAGGAAGCGGUGUCUCUGUGCAGUGAAACAUGAGGGACACAGAAUGAAGGUCAGGGUGGCAGCGUGGCCAGGCCUGGGAUGGAGACCCAGUCCACCACCCGCUCAAGCGGCUGAGGGGUCCCGUCUGUGUCCGGGGUCCCCGGUAACCCAGUCACCACGGGGAGCCCUGGAGGAGGAGAGCAGCUCAGGGAGGGAUCGG
rnacentral:lncRNA from 1 species